GGAAUUUCAAGUAAAAGGGGAUUGCAGCACGAUGCAGAGCGUAAAAAUCGUGCGAGUAGACAGCGUCGGUCGCCUCUGGGCCGUGGACAUGGGAAGUGAAAAAUGUGCAGCCAAGCUUUGGGUUUUCGACCUGACAAACCAAGAUUCUGUUGAGCUCAUCCAUCAGUUCCCAAACGUAAGCUUGCCUCGUCGGGGUGAUAAAAAGCCGUGGUUGAACGAUCUGGUGCUGGAUGAAGAACAGAAGAGCGACUGCAUUGCGUACAUUGCAGAAUAUUAUUCACGAAGUUUAUACGUGUUCAGUUACAAUAAGCGAAACUUCUCAAGAGCCGUGAAAAUCGAGGAAAUUUAUUCUUUACACUCUAUUGUGCUUUCGCCAACGAAAGGAACGGAAUAUCUCUACUUCAGCUCGUGGAAUGGCUCGAAUCUGUAUUCCCUCCCGUUCUCUACUAUCAGGAACAGAUCAACCGAAUCCGCGACCCCUUCGCUUUAUGCAAAGAAGAAAGUUGGUGCCUUCAAAAUGCUCACGGACAGCAAGAAAGAAAAAUUGUAUUUCGGUGCUCGGAAAGGGGCAAUUGUUCAAAAGUGGGAUACCAAUCGGUCAUUUGAGGAGGAACUGAUCUAUGAGGGAGAUCCCAAUGAACGGCUGCUGACGUUUUCCAUCGACGUGCACGAUAAUAUUUUGUUGCUCACCAAAAAUGAUAAUUCAGCAACCAUAAAACUGAAGCUCCUAAAUAAUGCA